CUGAACAGAUUUUUAUCCUUAGAAACAUACUUGAGCAAACAAAUGAAUGGAGGGCAGCUUUAAUAAUACUUUUUAUAGACUUCGAAAAAGCAUUCGACUCUGUCCACCGAGAGAGUCUAUGGUAUAUCAUGAAGAGCUAUGGAAUACCAGACAAGAUAAUAAGAACCAUAAAGGAGAUAUAUAAAGGAUUUAAGUGUUCUGUCAUAGAUCAGGGAGAAACAUCAGAAUGGUUUGAGAUAAAAUCAGGAGUGAAACAGGGAUGCGUAAUGUCAGGUUUUCUUUUCCUUCUAGUCAUUGACUGGAUCAUGCGGAAAACAACUGCAGACAAAGCAAGAGGGAUACGAUGGAACUUUAAUACUGUUCUAGAAGAUCUUGACUUUGCUGAUGACAUCGCACUUCUUUCCUCAAAAUUUAGCGACCUUGAUGAAAAAACACAGAAAUUAACAACUGAAGCUGAAAGAAUUGGAAUGAAACUUAACCCCAAAAAAUGUAAAACUCUGAGAUCCCAGCAAACAAAGAAUAAAGAGUUGAUAACGUUAUACGAUCAGAAAAUAGAAGAUGUAGACAAAUUCACAUACCUGGGAGCAGUCAUGGACAAAGAGGGAGGAGGCAGUUGUGACAUCAAAAACAGAAUACAGAAAGCAAGAGGGACAUUCCAUCGCCUAAGAAAUAUAUGGUAUGCAAGAGGAAUUGGCCGAAAAACAAAAAUACACCUAUAUAAAUCAUUAGUAAGACCUGUAUUAUUGUAUGGAUGCGAAACAUGGAAAUUAACAAACAUUGAAGAAAAGAAACUAAAUACUGUAGAACACCAAUGCCUAAGAAAGAUCCUAAAAAUAAGAUGGCAAAGUAAAACAUCGAACAAAACAGUAAAUGAAAUAGCUAACACCAGAAACAUCAGUUGCGAAAUCAGAAGGAGACGGUGGACAUGGAUAGGACAUACAUUAAGACGUGAAAGAGACAACAACAGCUAUGUAGCUCUACAAUGGGCACCUGAAGGGAAAAGAAUUAGAGGAAGGCCAAAAACUACAUGGAGAAGAACAACCGAGAAAGAAAGGAACCAACAAGGAUGGACAAGUUGGAACGUAGCCAGAACAGCGGCAAAAGAUAGAAAAGGGUGGAAAAACAGCGUGGAGGCCUUAUGCGACUUCUGGCGCGGAG
rnacentral:lncRNA from 1 species